rnacentral:rRNA from 1 species
GACGAACGCUGGCGGCGUGCUUAACACAUGCAAGUCGAACGGAAAGGCCCUGCGUUUUUGGGGUGCUCGAGUGGGGAACGGGGGAGUAACACGUGAGUAACCUGCCCUUGACUUUGGGAUAGCUUCAGGAAACUGGGGCUAAUACCGUAUAGGAUAUCCUGCUGCAUGGUGGGGGUUGGAAAGUUUCGGCGGGUGGGGAUGGACUCGCGGCUUAUCAGCUUGUUGGUGGGGUAGUGGCUUACCAAGGCUUGGACGGGUAGCCGGCCUGAGAGGGUGACCGGCGACCAUGGGACUGAGAUACGGACCAGACUCCUACGGGAGGCAGCAGUGGGGAAUCUUGCACAAUGGGCGGAAGCCUGAUGCAGCGACGCCGCGUGCGGGAUGACGGCCUUUGGGUUGUAAACCGCUUUCGCCUGUGACGAAGCGUGAGUGACGGUAAUGGGUGAAGAAGCACCGGCUAACUACGUG